rnacentral:rRNA from 1 species
CCCUUAGAUGUUCUGGGCCGCACGCGCGCUACACUGAUGCAUUCAACGAGUCUAAAACCUGCUCUGAUAGGGGUGGGUAAUCUUUUGAAUGUGCAUCGUGAUUGGGAUAGAUGAUUGCAAUUUUUCAUCUUCAACGAGGAAUGCCUAGUAAACGCAAGUCAUCAGCUUGUAUUGAUUACGUCCCUGCCCUUUGUACACACCGCCCGUCGCUCCUACCGAUUGAAUGAUCCGAUGAAUAUCAUGGAUUGAGGAUGCAAGCAGGUUCGCCUGUCUUCAUCUUCGAGAAGUGAAGUAAAUCUUAUCAUUUAGAGGAAGGAGAAGUCGUAACA